AGUGAACGCUGGCGGCAGGCCUAACACAUGCAAGUCGAACGGCAGCACAGUAAGAGCUUGCUCUUACGGGUGGCGAGUGGCGGAUGGGUGAGGAGUACAUCGGAAUCUACUUUUUCGUGGGGGAUAACGUAGGGACACUUACGCUAAUACCGCAUACGACCUACGGGUGAAAGCAGGGGAUCUUCGGACCUUGCGUGAUUGAAUGAGCCGAUUUCGGAUUAGCUAGUUGGCGGGGUAAAGGCCCACCAAGGCGACGAUCCGUAGCUUGUCUGAGAGGAUGAUCAGCCACACUGGAACUGAGACGCGGUCCAGACUCCUACGGGAGGCAGCAGUGGGGAAUAUUGGACAAUGGGCGAAAGCCUGAUCCAGCCAUGCCGCGUGAGUGAAGAAGGUCUUCGGGUUGUAAAGCCCUUUUAUUUGGAAAGAAAAGCAGUAGGUUAAUACCUCGCUGUUUUGACGGUACCCAAAGAAUAAGCACCGGCUAACUUCGUG
rnacentral:rRNA from 1 species